rnacentral:rRNA from 1 species
GUAGUCAUAUGCUUGUCUCAAAGAUUAAGCCAUGCAUGUCUAAGUAUGAACACGCUUUGUACGGUGAAACUGCGAAUGGCUCAUUAUAUCAGUGAUCAUUUAUUUGAUGAUGCCUUACUACGUGGAUAACCGUGGUAAUUCUAGAGCUAAUACAUGCACACGACUCCCGACUCGCGAGGGAAGGGAGGUAUUUAUUAGGUAAGAACCAGCCCUGGCAACAGGAGCUCUGGUGAUUCAUGAUAACUGCACGAAUCGCACGGCCUUGCGCUGGCGAUGGAUCAUUCAAAUUUCUGCCCUAUCAACUUUUGAUGGUAGGAUAGAGGCCUACCAUGGUCGCAACGGGUAACGGGGAAUA